rnacentral:rRNA from 1 species
AACGCUGGCGGCAGGCCUAACACAUGCAAGUCGAACGAACCUUUCGGGGUUAGUGGCGGACGGGUGAGUAACACGUGGGAACGUGCCUUUAGGUUCGGAAUAACUCAGGGAAACUUGUGCUAAUACCGAAUGUGCCCUUCGGGGGAAAGAUUUAUCGCCUUUAGAGCGGCCCGCGUCUGAUUAGCUAGUUGGUUGAGGUAAUGGCUCACCAAGGCGACGAUCAGUAGCUGGUCUGAGAGGAUGAUCAGCCACAUUGGGACUGAGACACGGCCCAAACUCCUACGGGAGGCAGCAGUGGGGAAUCUUGCGCAAUGGGCGAAAGCCUGACGCAGCCAUGCCGCGUGAAUGAUGAAGGUCUUAGGAUUGUAAAAUUCUUUCACCGGGGACGAUAAUGACGGUACCCGGAGAAGAAGCCCCGGCUAACUUCGUG